rnacentral:tRNA from 1 species
GCCGAAGUGGCGGAACUGGCAGACGCGGCGGACUUAAACUCCGCUGCCCGCGAGGGCGUCCGGGUUCGAGCCCCGGCUUCGGCA